rnacentral:rRNA from 1 species
UGGGGAAUCUUGCGCAAUGGGCGAAAGCCUGACGCAGCGACGCCGCGUGAGUGAUGAAGGCCUUCGGGUUGUAAAGCUCUGUGGGGCGAGACGAAUAAGUGCAGCCUAAUACGUUGCAUGAUGACGGUAUCGCCUUAGCAAGCACCGGCUAACUCUGUGCCAGCAGCCGCGGUAAGACAGAGGGUGCAAACGUUGUUCGGAAUUACUGGGCGUAAAGCGAGUGUAGGCGGUCUUCUAAGUCGGGUGUGAAAGCCCCGGGCUCAACCCGGGAAGUGCACUCGAAACUGGAAGGCUAGAGUAUCGGAGAGGUUGGUGGAAUUCUCGGUGUAGAGGUGAAAUUCGUAGAUAUCGAGAGGAACACCGGUGGCGAAGGCGGCCAACUGGACGAAUACUGACGCUGAGACUCGAAAGCGUGGGGAGCAAACAGGAUUAGAUACCCGUGUAGUCC